rnacentral:rRNA from 1 species
UACGUAGGGGGCAAGCGUUGUCCGGAAUUAUUGGGCGUAAAGAGCGUGUAGGCGGCCAGAUAAGUCCGCUGUGAAAUCUCGAGGCUCAACCUCUAGAUGUCGGUGGAAACUGUCUGGCUAGAGUCCGGAAGAGGAGAAUGGAAUUCCUGGUGUAGCGGUGAAAUGCGCAGAUAUCAGGAAGAACACCCGUGGCGAAGGCGGUUCUCUGGUACGGUACUGACGCUGAGACGCGAAAGCGUGGGGAGCGAACAGG